CGGGGGCGGGCUGCACGGCGAGAAGGGCAAAAUAAAACCAGCCCGAGAGGCCCUGGCUGGGGUUGAGACUGCAGGAGUAACUUCUGCACCGAGGCAGCGCGCAGCCAGUCGGGGAAGAACUCUGCAACCUGACCGAAAGAAAGUCCGACCCUCUCGGGAGGGCUGCCAGGAUGCUGGAGCGAGUGUCAGGGUCCGAGACUCCCAAGUCGGGCGAGGGCUCCUGCCCCUGGCCAUUGGGUACCCCCCUCCGACCAACACCCCCGUCCCGCUUCAGAGCGUCGGCCCCACAGACCUAGAUGGGCAAGAUACCAAAUACUUUUCUUGGAAUACAUCAUCUUGAUUGAAAACUACUAGGAUAUUUUUGAAAAAAUAGCUCAUUAGCUGGCUGGGUAAGUUUGUUUGUUUACAAUGGACUUUUCAAUGAUGGUGGUAGGCAUCCUGGAAGAUAGCCACUGUACUAAGUUCAUUUUUCUCUGUUCUUGGCUGCUCCUCUAACCUUGAACUUUAUUUAGUCAGGGAAAAUGGAAGGAAUGGGAAUGCUAACUAAUGGAAGAAAGAUAUUUUCUUUGACCUUUGAAAAACAGACUUAAGUAAUUGAACCAUAAAUUUAGAAACCGGGCUUUUAACAAAUGAAAAUUUUAAGAUGUAUAAAAACAGCUCCCAUAAGUAUAUGCACCAAAUGUAUUAACCUUGUGAUAUAUAAGAUUGCACCUAGGAAAAGUUAACACCGUUGGAGAUUAUUAAGACUUACCAACUCAUUCAGCUUUAAUAAGCAGAACUUGAGCCAAGUGCGGAACACACUUGUACCAAAUUGGCAAGAAUUAUACACUUAAAUGUAAAUACAUUUUUUUCUGCGAGGUAAAGCUAUUAAGCCCCCCAAAACACCUUAGAUAUAUUUUUUGAAAACUGU
rnacentral:lncRNA from 1 species